rnacentral:SRP_RNA from 13 species
CCGGAAGGGAGCAGCGACAGCGGCAAACUCAUGUU